GACUAAUUAAGCGGAUGAUCGGAGGGGGAGUUGUGUAAACAUAACAAACACCACCUAAAUUCAAGUUUAGGUGACAGCUAGGGAAACAUUGUGUUGGCACAGGUGGGUUGAGUAACCAUAAUAUUGACAAUAUGUACAUAAAUAUUGG
ensembl:ncRNA F23B12.11 ncRNA